UACGUAGGGGGCAAGCGUUGUCCGGAUUUAUUGGGCGUAAAGAGCGUGUAGGCGGCCAUACAGGUCCGUUGUGAAAACUGGAGGCUUAACCUCCAGACGUCGAUGGAAACCGUAUGGCUAGAGUCCGGAAGAGGAGAGUGGAAUUCCGUGGUGUAGCGGUGAAAUGCGCAGAUAUCAGGAAGAACACCCCGUGGCGAAGGCGGCUCUCUGGGGACGGUACUGACGCUGAGACGCGAAAGCGUGGGGAGCGAACAGG
rnacentral:rRNA from 1 species